GACGAUAAGCAAACAUCAGUGACAUCAGUGAAGGACUAAGGACACAGGAGAAGAGGGAGAAGAGCCUAGCUGGUCCUUAGGACAUCUCCAGGUGAUCACAGUUGCUGUCAAUUGCAGUUGGAUUUCUGCGCACACACGCGUUCGGGGCCUCGCUCAAAUGGAUUACAUUUCCGUAACAGGAGGACAAAAAGUUAAACCUGUGAGCUCCCUGCUGUUUUAUUACUGCAUGAAGAUUGGUUAGGAAUGACUGUUCCCGUGGGAUUGUGAAUAUGAGCCCGUGAUCUGCCUAGCACAAAUCUCUGUCCUUUUAUGCAAAAUAUUAUUAGGCUUUCUAGAGCUUUGCCUUGAUAAAAAUCUUUCCU
rnacentral:lncRNA from 1 species